rnacentral:rRNA from 1 species
AACGAACGCUGGCGGCAGGCUUAACACAUGCAAGUCGAGCGCCCCGCAAGGGGAGUGGCAGACGGGUGAGUAACGCGUGGGAAUCUACCCAGUUCUACGGAAUAACCCAGGGAAACUUGGACUAAUACCGUAUACGCCCUACGGGGGAAAGAUUUAUCGGAAUUGGAUGAGCCCGCGUUGGAUUAGCUAGUUGGUGGGGUAAUGGCCUACCAAGGCGACGAUCCAUAGCUGGUCUGAGAGGAUGAUCAGCCACACUGGGACUGAGACACGGCCCAGACUCCUACGGGAGGCAGCAGUGGGGAAUAUUGGACAAUGGGCGCAAGCCUGAUCCAGCCAUGCCGCGUGAGUGAUGAAGGCCUUAGGGUUGUAAAGCUCUUUCAGUGGGGAAGAUAAUGACGGUACCCACAGAAGAAGCCCCGGCUAACUUCGUGCCAGCCGCCGCCGUAACAC